rnacentral:misc_RNA from 1 species
AAGUCGUAACAAGGUCUCCGUAGGUGAACCUGCGGAGGGAUCAUUAACACGUUAUCCACGUCCACACCGGCGAACUAAACCGUUCUGACAGCGGGCUCACUGUGGGGCGAUCUCACAUGUCCGGCGUCAAUCCGUUUCAUCUCCUGAAAACAUUCUGUCUAAUACUUUUAUUGGCGAGGUUAACGCCUUCCAAUUAAAACAAAAUUAUAAACAAAAGCACAACUCUUAGCAACGGAUAUCUUGGUUCUC